UACGAGUGCCCCGAGCGUUAUCCGGAAUUAUUGGGCGGAAAGGGUGUGUAGGCGGUCUUGUAAGUCUCAUGUCAAAUUCUUCGGCUUAACCGGGGGUCCGCAUGGGAAACGGCAAGACUUGAGGAUGCGAGAGGUGAAUGGAACUCAUAGUGUAGGGGUGAAAUCCGUUGAUAUUAUGGGGAACACCAAAAGCGAAGGCAGUUCACUGGCGCAUUCCUGACGCUGAAACACGAAAGCGUGGGUAGCGAAUGGG
rnacentral:rRNA from 1 species